UGGAGAAGUGGCAGAGAGGCCGAAUGCGCUCCCCUGCUAAGGGAGUAUCCGAGCUAAAACUUGGAUCGAGGGUUCAAAUCCCUCCUUCUCCGCCAU
rnacentral:tRNA from 1 species